CUUGAUAAUGUUAUGCAACGUUUAGCAGGGGUGUAACAGUAUUUUGCUGUUUUCACCAAGGAAAGUUACUGAGUCUUCAGUGACCAGUGUGUGAACGGGUCUGUGCUCCGUACCGUCGUGCUGUUUCUACUGUUGGGUGUCUCCUACAGUAAGUGCAAGUGCGACUACUGGGAGAUACUCAACUCUUACAGAGAACUCAUCUUCGUUGAACUGCAGAAUUUGAAUUUGACGGGCACUUUCGACACAUCUUCAGAAAGGGACCGCUGUCCCUCGGGAAAAGCACAGCGUAUUUUGCACUCUAUCCACGGAUUGGCACUCCAGUUUCUUUGCCAGAACUGGGAAAUGGGCAGCAGGCAGAGAAGCAGUCAGCAGGAAGACAUGGAGAAGCCAGUGGUGAUGAUGAAACAGCUGAUCACACAGAACUGCAAUCCAGCUGACCUGGUGAGAAAACAGAAAAGAGACCGGUCGUGUGCAAAACCCAAGAGAACAAGAGGAAAGAAGAAGAAGCGGAUGCGACUCAUCAGAGCACUGAUCAAAUGUUGGCAGAAGCUACAGAGUGUGUCGAAGCCCACAAAAUAAUGCAUCAAAAAUAUUUUUAUCCACUUCCAAAAAAACGUGUGUGUUUAAUUGUGUUCUCAUUUUGUAAAGUAGAAACAUAGUUGUAUUUCCGGCAUUAAGCUCUCUGUUUAGGACCUUUCUUCUUGUGUGUAACAUCUUCCACAUAUAUAAGCUAGCCAUCCACAGGUCAUCUGUAUUAGAUGGCUGUUAGAGGAUGGGUUAUAAUGAAAUGACAAUAGGCUAUUUACUUUUCACACACAUUUUUUUAAAUGAAAAUCCAGAGAUAGGAUUAUUUCUUUCCCUAAACAUGUACAUGUGUGUUGGUGCUUAUGUUUUUGAGAUGUAUUAGUUCAAGCUACUUACAUGCAAUAAAGGUUCCUCAAGCUAACAUUUCAAAUGAAUGAAUGCAAAAAUGUGUUGUUCAUUCCUGUUAAGCUCAAAAACCAGUGUUCCAUCUAGAUUGGCAUGUUUCACAUUGAAAUACAUGAUGUUCAUAUAAAAU
ensembl:lncRNA